rnacentral:rRNA from 1 species
UACCUACGGGACGCAGCAGUGAGGAAUAUUGGUCAAUGGCCGAGAGGCUGAACCAGCCAAGUCGCGUGAGGGAAGAAUGUCCUAUGGAUUGUAAACCUCUUUUGUCGGGGAGCAAGGCCCGCCACGUGUGGCGGGAAGGAGAGUACCCGAAGAAAAAGCAUCGGCUAACUCCGUGCCAGCAGCCGCGGUAAUACGGAGGAUGCGAGCGUUAUCCGGAUUUAUUGGGUUUAAAGGGGGCGUAGGCGGAAGGUUAAGUCAGCGGUCAAAUGUCGGGGCUCAACACCGG